ensembl:misc_RNA 7SK 7SK RNA
GGAUGUGAGGACGAUCUGGCUGCGACAUCUGUCACCCCAUUGAUCACCAGGGUUGGUUCAGCUGAUCUGGCCGGCUAGGUGGGUGUCCCCUUCCUCCUUCACGGCUCCAUGUGUAUCCCUCCAGAAGCUGCAGGUUCAGUCAAAGAGGACCGCCUUCCCCAACAGAGGAGGGCCAUUCUUUGCUCAAGGGCAUACGAGAAGCUGCGCUCCCUGCUAGAACCUCCAGGCAAGCUCUCAAGGCCCAUUUGUAGGAGAACGUAGGGCAGUCAGGUUUCCAAGACUCCAGACACAUGAGGCGCUGCAUGCGGCAGUCUGCUUUUCUUU